GAUGAACGCUGGCGGCGUGCCUAAUACAUGCAAGUCGAGCGAACAGAUGAGGAGUUUGCUCCUCUGACGUUAGCGGCGGACGGGUGAGUAGCACGUGGAUAACCUACCUAUAAGACUGGGAUAACUUCGGGAAACCGGAGCUAAUACCGGAUAAUAUAUUGAACCGCAUGGUUCAAUAGUGAAAGACGGUUUUGCUGUCACUUAUAGAUGGAUCCGCGCCGCAUUAGCUAGUUGGUAAGGUAACGGCUUACCAAGGCAACGAUGCGUAGCCGACCUGAGAGGGUGAUCAGCCACACUGGAACUGAGACACGGUCCAGACUCCUACGGGAGGCAGCAGUAGGGAAUCUUCCGCAAUGGGCGAAAGCCUGACGGAGCAACGCCGCGUGAGUGAUGAAGGUCUUCGGAUCGUAAAACUCUGUUAUUAGGGAAGAACAAAUGUGUAAGUAACUGUGCACGUCUUGACGGUACCUAAUCAGAAAGCCACGGCUAACUACGUG
rnacentral:rRNA from 1 species